UACGGAGGGUGCGAGCGUUGUCCGGAAUCACUGGGCGUAAAGGGCGCGUAGGCGGCUUCUUAAGCGUGUGGUGAAAGCUCGGGGCUCAACCUCGAGUCGGCCAUGCGAACUGGGAGGCUUGAGCACUGUAGAGGCAGGCGGAAUUCCUGGUGUAGGCGGUGAAAUGCGCAGAUAUCAGGAAGAACACCCGUGGCGAAGGCGGCUCUCUGGAACGCAACUGACGCUGAGACGCGAAAGCGUGGGGAGCAAACAGG
rnacentral:rRNA from 1 species